rnacentral:misc_RNA from 1 species
AACCUAGCACACCUGCGGUGUGUACCUGCGGAAGGAUCAUUACCGAGUUAUACAACUCAUCAACCCCUGUGAACUUACCUACAACGUUGCUUCGGCGGGAACAGACGGCCCCGUAAAACGGGCCGCCCCCGCCAGAGGACCCCUAACUCUGUUUUUAUAAUGUUUUUCUGAGUAAACAAGCAAAUAAAUUAAAACUUUCAGCAAUGGAUCU